rnacentral:rRNA from 1 species
UACGUAGGGGGCGAGCGUUGUCCGGAUUUACUGGGCGUAAAACGCUUGUAGGUGGCCACGCCAAGUCGGAUGUGAAAUCUCCCGGCUUAACUGGGAGGGGUCAUUCGAUACUGGCGGGCUCGAGGCAGGUAGGGGGAAGCGGAAUUCCCGGUGUAGUGGUGGAAUGCGUAGAUAUCGGGAGGAACACCAGUGGCGAAGGCGGCUUCCUGGACCUGUUCUGACACUGAGGAGCGAAAGCGUGGGGAGCGAUCCGG